GACGAACGCUGGCGGCGUGCUUAAUACAUGCAAGUCGAACGGUAAGGCCCUGUUUUUGUGGGGUGCUCGAGUGGCGAAAGGGGGUGUAUCACGCGAGGAACCUGCCCUUUACUUUGGGAUAACUUCAGGAAACUGGGGCUCAUACCGGAUAUGAACUCCUUCAGCAUGGGGUGGGUGGUAAAAUUUCGGCGUUUGGGGAUGGACUCGUGGUUUAUCAGCUUGUUGGUGGGGUAGUGGCUUACCAAGGCUUUGACGGGUAGCCGGCCUGAGAGGGUGACCGGCCACAUUGGGACUGAGAUACGGCCAAGACGCAUACGUGAGGAAGCAGUGGGGGAUAUUGCAAAAUGGGCGGAAGCCUGAUGCAACGACGCCGCGUGCGGGAUGACGGCCUUCGGGUAAUAAACCGCUUUAGCCUGUGACGAAGCGUAAGUGACGGUAAUGGGUAAAGAAGCACCGGCUAACUACGUG
rnacentral:rRNA from 1 species